rnacentral:rRNA from 1 species
CCUACGGGAGGCAGCAGUGGGGAAUAUUGGGCAAUGGGCGCAAGCCUGACCCAGCAACGCCGCGUGAAGGAAGAAGGCUUUCGGGUUGUAAACUUCUUUUCUGAGGGACGUAGAAAGUGACGGUACCUCAGGAAUAAGCCACGGCUAACUACGUGACAGCAGCCGCGGUAAUACGUAGGUGGCAAGCGUUAUACGGAUUUAUUGGGUGUAAAGGGCGCGUAGGCGGGAAAGCAAGUCAGAUGUGAAAACUCAGGGCUCAACCCUGAGACUGCAUUUGAAACUGGCUUUCUUGAGUGCUGGAGAGGCAAUCGGAAUUCCGUGUGUAGCGGUGAAAUGCGUAGAUAUACGGAGGAACCCCAGUGGCGAAGGCGGAUUGCUGGACAGUAACUGACGCUGAGGCGCGAAAGCGUGGGGAGCAAACAGGAUUAGAUACCCCAGUAGUC